GUCAGUCUUACAGAUGAUAACGCAGGAUGUUUUAGAGGUGUCAGAACCGAGGCGAAGCCGAAUCCGCUGUCUUUUUGAACCUAACCUAACCGUUUACAAGAUAGCAGGAAAAAAAUGCUCAAAUUUGAAUGAGAUUAAAUUAGCCCUACUAAAAUUCGACCUAGAUGCUAUAGACACCAAAUUUUAAAGCGAUAUUCCAUUAAACACAGUUUUACUACAGCUUUCUUUACUUUCAUGGGAAUUUGUGUUCACAUGGAGUUAAGACCAAUUCCAUGUAGCGCAUGGGAUUUCCCUAAUAGAAGCGAAACUCCCAUAACGCAUCCAAAACAGUCCCACAUUGAUCCCUCCCGUAGAUAGGGAUUAGAAUGGGUUUUGGGACUAGUUCCAAAGCCCUUUUUACUCCCAAGCCGCUCUCAGUCCCACUGAAAUCCCUGAGGGUGUAUGGAAGUCUCCUGAAAUCCCUCUCCGCCGCAGCAAACUCCCCUGCGAAAACCCGAAUCCACUGGACAGGAGGCGGAGAGCGGAGCGCCAAGUCUGACGAACGGCAUCCAGUCAAUUUAUUGAUUUGAUUUAUUUUAUCCAAAUAAAUAUUGCUGUUGCUGACGCAGGUGUGAUCAACAAAGGCGGCCUCGAUAAAAUUUGUACGAGUGUUGUCAAGGGCCCUUGGCGCCGUAACGGUAGGCAACCAAUCCUACACCCCUGCAUCGGUGAUGACGUCACGUCGCGCCCACCCGACAUCUGCUCGCUGAGACGACCGCGACGACCGCGCGCCCCGCGGACAGUUCGGACGGCACGAGAGUCGGUUAGCCGCCAAUGUGAAUGUGUACUGCAAAGUAUUGAUGUUGUGGUUCUGCUGGUAAAGCAUGAAUAGGACACCCAUAGUGAACUUUCCCCACUGCAUCCAAGGAGAGAGUAUAAGAGAGUAUGUCGCAGGUUGAUACAGGUGCACUUCCGGCAAGCAUACAUCAUUAUCUAUAUUGAAUACCCGCUACAGGGAUGAUAAUGUUCGGCUGAGGACAUUGCGCCAGGUCACCAAAGAUGUGCCUCAGCUGAAAGAAUCUUUGAGAAAAACUUGUGCUGCAGCAGAGAAAGAUAAUGAAGAGGUCAGGUCACUGAAUAAAGAAUUGAGAGACACAUCCGGCAAGAUUAGGAGACUUUCGGAGUUGGCUGACAACGCAUAAGAACUAUCUAGGAGCAGUCUGCUGCUCGCCCUAGUGUAGGAUUAUAGCUGUGCACCAGAUCUUAUUGAGACACCACCUCAACCACCUGCCAGGCAAGAGCAGAGAUUCAACCGGCAGCUCCUUUCUAUGACCUCCACCUAAUGCCAAUAAUCGGGCAGGCCCAGAGGCAGAAGGAGGUGCUGAUCAAGAUCCCCGGCACAUCCACAAGCUUAGUGUGAAGAUGAAGAGCAACUGCCUGCUGCAGCUGGCUCCAGUUGCACAACAGCCACGAAUCCAAGUUCAGCAGGGUGCUCGCCCAAGAAUAUGAGGAGAGAAUGAUAUCUUCCUUGAUUUUUCUCACAAAAUACUGUGUCAAUACCUUAAUUCUUUUACCAUCCAAAUUGAAAGACAAAAUGAAGAAAGUGUGCUCCAAUGCUGAUCAGAGUUACAAGAAUUUAACUCUGGAAGUGCAGGAGCAAAUACUGGAAGAACAGAGGCAGAAGGACUAAAACCAAAGGCCUGCUUGAUUUUACUCAAUGUUUAACAAUUUAAGUAAAGAAUAGCUAGGAUCUUUUAUAAUUUUAUGACUGAUUAAUGUUAAAUGCUCAAUUAUUGAUAUUCUGAUUAAUGUUUUCUAUCCACUGUUUUUCUAAUUCAUUUUAUAUUCUUCUUUAGUUGUAAAUUACUAUUUGUAAUGCUAAAGUAAUGUUUAAGAUUUUUUUAAACAGCUAAAAACUACCUCACUCUCUAAAUAGGGUUCAUUCCAUCACUCUCAUAAGAGUAAUGUUCCAGUCUCAAACAGGUGUAUUUAUAUUUAUGUAUAUGAAGUCAAAUUUUACGUAACACACUGCUCUGUAAAUUUUCAAAUAAGUACAGUAGAAGCAAAAUAAGGGUAGGGGUCUUUGGACCACCCUGUAUCUGAAAUGUCUUUAUCUCAUACUAAAAAUUAUCAAUAUUUUAUUUAAUACAGCAUGACUUCAUAUUUGAAAAGCUGGUAAAGAAAACAUGGCACUGAAUGUAGAUACUUUAUUUUUUGCUACUAAAGGCCCAGUUGUAUUCUGCAAUGUCCCUCGCUAACUCCCCAUAAUAGUGUUG